UGGCUCAGAUUGAACGCUGGCGGCAGGCUUAACACAUGCAAGUCGAACGGUAGCAGGAGAAAGCUUGCUUUCUUGCUGACGAGUGGCGGACGGGUGAGUAAUGCUUGGGAAUCUGGCUUAUGGAGGGGGAUAACUACGGGAAACUGUAGCUAAUACCGCGUAGUGUCGAGAGACGAAAGUGCGGGACCGCAAGGCCGCAUGCCAUGAGAUGAGCCCAAGUGGGAUUAGGUAGUUGGUGGGGUAAAGGCCUACCAAGCCUGCGAUCUCUAGCUGGUCUGAGAGGAUGGCCAGCCACACUGGAACUGAGACACGGUCCAGACUCCUACGGGAGGCAGCAGUGGGGAAUAUUGCGCAAUGGGGGGAACCCUGACGCAGCCAUGCCGCGUGAAUGAAGAAGGCCUUCGGGUUGUAAAGUUCUUUCGGUAUUGAGGAAGGAGUGUAUGUUAAUAGCAUACAUUAUUGACGUUAAAUACAGAAGAAGCACCGGCUAACUCCGUGCCAGCAGCCGCGGUAAUACGGAGGGUGCGGGCGUUAAUCGGAAUAACUGGGCGUAAAGGGCACGCAGGCGGUUAUUUAAGUGAGGUGUGAAAGCCCCGGGCUUAACCUGGGAAUUGCAUUUCAGACUGGGUAACUAGAGUACUUUAGGGAGGGGUAGAAUUCCACGUGUAGCGGUGAAAUGCGUAGAGAUGUGGAGGAAUACCGAAAGGCGAAAGGCAGCCCCUUGGGAAUGUACUGACGCUCAUGUGCGAAAGCGUGGGGAGCAAACAGGAUUAGAUACCCU
rnacentral:rRNA from 1 species